rnacentral:rRNA from 1 species
UGAGCAAUCUGCCCUUCUCUUUGGAAUAAGCGUUGGAAACGACGUCUAAUGCCGAAUACGACCUCCUUUCGCAUGAUCGGAGGUGGAAAGCUCCGGCGGAGAAGGAUGAGCUCGCGGCCUAUCAGCUAGUUGGUGUGGGUAAUGGCCCACCAAGGCGACGACGGGUAGCCGGCCUGAGAGGGUGACCGGCCACACUGGGACUGAGACACGGCCCAGACUCCGUACGGGGAGGCAGCG